UUGGAGGGCAAGUCUGGUGCCCGCAGCCGCGGUAAUUCCAGCUCCAAUAGCGUAUAUUAAAGUUGUUGCAGUUAAAAAGCUCGUAGUUGAAUUUCGGGGUCAGUAGGUUGGUCGUGCCACUGGUAUGUACUGGCUUUACUGAUUCCUCCUUCUUGAAGAACUGUAAUGUCAUUAAUUUGGUGUUGCAGGGAAACAGGACUGCUACUUUGAAAAAAUUAGAGUGUUUAAAGCAGGCUAACGCUUGAAUACAUUAGCAUGGAAUAAUGAAAUAGGACGUUUGAUCCUAUUUUGUUGGUUUCUAGGAUUGACGUAAUGAUUAAUAGGGAUAGUUGGGGGCAUUAGUAUUCAAUUGUCAGAGGUGAAAUUCUUGGAUUUAUUGAAGACUAACUACUGCGAAAGCAUUUGCCAAGGAUGUUUUCAUUAAUCAAGAACGAAAGUUAGGGGAUCGAAGACGAUCAGAUACCGUCGUAGUCUUAACCAUAAACUAUGCCGACUAGGGAUCGGAUGAUGUUAAUUUUUUAAUGACUCAUUCGGCGCCUUACGGGAAAC
rnacentral:rRNA from 1 species